UACAGAGGUCCCAAGCGUUGUUCGGAUUCACUGGGCGUAAAGGGUGCGUAGGCGGUCGGGUAAGUCUGAUGUGAAAUCUCACAGCUUAGCUGUGAAACUGCAUUGGAUACUAUUCGGCUUGAGAGUUGGAGGGGGGACUGGAAUUCUUGGUGUAGCAGUGAAAUGCGUAGAUAUCAAGAGGAACACCAGUGGCGAAGGCGAGUCCCUGGACAACUUCUGACGCUGAGGCACGAAAGCUAGGGGAGCAAACAGG
rnacentral:rRNA from 1 species